rnacentral:rRNA from 1 species
GAUGAACGCUGGCGGCGUGCCUAAUACAUGCAAGUCGAGCGAACAGAUGAGGAGCUUGCUCCUCUGACGUUAGCGGCGGACGGGUGAGUAACACGUGGAUAACCUACCUAUAAGACUGGGAUAACUUCGGGAAACCGGAGCUAAUACCGGAUAAUAUAUUGAACCGCAUGGUUCAAUAGUGAAAGACGGUUUUGCUGUCACUUAUAGAUGGAUCCGCGCCGCAUUAGCUAGUUGGUAAGGUAACGGCUUACCAAGGCAACGAUGCGUAGCCGACCUGAGAGGGUGAUCGGCCACACGGGAACUGAGACACGGUCCAGACUCCUACGGGAGGCAGCAGUAGGGAAUCUUCCGCAAUGGGCGAAAGCUUGACGGAGCAACGCCGCGUGAGUGAUGAAGGUCUUCGGAUCGUAAAACUCUGUUAUUAGGGAAGAACAAAUGUGUAAGUAACUAUGCACGUCUUGACGGUACCUAAUCAGAAAGCCACGGCUAACUACGUG